CGUACGGGGAAGGAUGAGAAGCUUCGACUAAGGUUCGAUUCGAGCGCAGCGAGAAAGCGUUGCCGUAGGCAACGACCCGAAGGGCGAAGCGCGCAGCGCUGAGUCAUCCUUCCCCCACCACCA
rnacentral:sRNA from 2 species